rfam:Capsicum annuum cultivar Zunla-1 unplaced genomic scaffold scaffold2274, whole genome shotgun sequence
GCUCUUGUAGCUCAGUUGGUUAGAGCACCCGUUUAGUAAGUGAGAGGUCUUGAGUUCGAUUCUCAACAAAAGCA